rnacentral:rRNA from 1 species
UACGUAGGGGGCUAGCGUUGUCCGGAUUUAUUGGGCGUAAAGAGCGUGUAGGCGGCCAGGUAGGUCUGCUGUGAAAACUCGAGGCUCAACCUCGAGACGUCGGCGGAAACCAUCUGGCUAGAGUCCGGAAGAGGAGAGUGGAAUUCCUGGUGUAGCGGUGAAAUGCGCAGAUAUCAGGAAGAACACCCUUGGCGAAGGCGGCUCUCUGGGACGGUACUGACGCUGAGACGCGAAAGCGUGGGGAGCGAACAGG